UGCCAGUAGUCAUAUGCUUGUCUCAAAGAUUAAGCCAUGCAUGUCUAAGUACACACUCUAGUAAAGUGAAACCGCGAAUGGCUCAUUAAAUCAGCUAUGGUUUAUUAGAUCGUGCAAUCCUAUUUGGAUAACUGUGGUAAUUCUAGAGCUAAUACAUGCAACUGGCCCUGACUUUACGAAGGGGCGCUUUUAUUAGAUCAAAAUCAAUCAGGAGCAAUCCUGUUUUUGUGAUGACUCUGGAUAACUUCAUGCCGACCGUAUGGCCUUGUGCCGACGGCGUAUCUUUCAAAUGUCUGCCCUAUCAACUUUCGAUGGUAGGUGAUAUGCCUACCAUGGUUGUAACGGGUAACGGAGAAUCAGGGUUCGAUUCCGGAGAGGGAGCCUGAGAAACGGCUACCACAUCCAAGGAAGGCAGCAGGCGCGCAAAUUACCCACUCCCGGCACGGGGAGGUAGUGACGAAAAAUAACAAUGCUGGGCUUCAAGUCCGGUAAUUGGAAUGAGUACACUUUAAAUCCUUUAACGAGGAUCUAGUGGAGGGCAAGUCUGGUGCCGGCAGCCGCGGUAAUUCCAGCUCCAAUAGCGUAUAUUAAAGUUGUUGCAGUUAAAAAGCUCGUAGUUGGACCGAGGGGGGGCCGGGAGACGAUCGCAAGAUCGGACCACGGAACCCUGUUUUGGGGAAGCUGUCAGUAGACAACCGUCCCCGGGUUACUGUGAAGAAAUUAGAGUGUUUAAAGCAGGCGAUCGCUUGGAUACAUUAGCAUGGAAUAAUAACUUAGGACUUCGGUUCUAUUUUGUUGGUUUCUAGGACUGAAGUAAUGAUUGAUAGGGAUAGUUGGGGGUGCUAGUAUUCAGCGGCCAGAGGUGAAAUUCUCGGAUUCGCUGAAGACUAACUUAUGCGAAAGCAUUCACCAAGGAUGUCUUCUUUAAUCAAGAACGAAAGUUGGGGGAUCGAAGACGAUCAGAUACCGCCGUAGUCUCAACCAUAAACUAUGCCGACUAGGGAUGAGUGAACGUUGCAUAAUCGACUUCAUUCGCACCUUAUGAGAAAUCAAAGUCCUUGGGUUCCGGGGGGAGUAUGGUCGCAAGGCUGAAACUUAAAGGAAUUGACGGAAGGGCACCACCAGGAGUGGAGCCUGCGGCUUAAUUUGACUCAACACGGG
rnacentral:rRNA from 1 species